AUGACCCAAGGACUGUGGGAAGCAAUACACAUAUGAUGGAAGCACUUGUUUGCGCUAGAGUAUCAGUGGUCAAGAGGCGCUGGUACUAGAGGGGCAAGAUGACCCAACAGAAGCAGCUAAAGCAGACUGAUCGGUAGGAGAGGGAGUAGCAGAUGGUAAAGUAACUUGAUGGAAAUGGCUGAAAACCUCACUACGGGAGGGGAGCUCCUUAGAUCCAAGAAUCUGAGAUCAGGCAUCAUCAAAGGUGGACGAAAGACCAGAAAGAAAACAGGCCACCCGCA
rnacentral:lncRNA from 1 species